GCGCUCAUCCCGUUCAAUCAGGAGGAGAUCGCUACCUUGAUUAAGAGUUAUAUGCUUACCAAAAACAGACCUGUGUGAAGAGAUUUGAAGAAAAAUCGCGGGACACAAUGGAGGUAGGAGGCGAUUAAGUGACCAACUAAGGGAGAUGCAUAGUUUCUCCACGUUCACUAACACUGCAGAGAAAAUAGUUGAACAUGAUGAGGAGGGGGUGGACAUUGACUCCAUUAAUCAACAAAUGAAUAAAAGGGGGAAGAAGAAUGUAAAUCCCGACUCGAGAGUGUUGUUGUUCAGAACCCAAACCUUGGUAAGCUAAAGAAAGUGAAGGUUAUAACAAACAAAACUGCCUCAUCGAGCCAUGGUAAGACAGAACCUGUUUCCCCACAUAAACCCCCGGUGAAAGUAGCAGAAACCAAUACUACCGAGAAAUCAGUUGAACUUGCUGAAGAGGGGGUGGAUAUUGACUUCAUUAAUCAACAGAUAAAGAAAAGGGGGAAGAAGAAUGUUAAUUCUGAUGCCAGAGGUAAAAUUGCAUUAUAUUUCCUUUUUCUUGGAUCUUUGGCAAAAUAUAUAUGAUUUUGUAGUAGUUAAUGGAUAAUUAGAUGUAAAUUGGUUCCUCAACAAACAACAACAAUA